AUGCCUCCUUGAAGUGAGUCCACAGGGCCCUCUGACAUCUUUCAAAGGGAGGUUUUAUCAGGACCCUGGCAGGAUAAUCUGGAUGCCACCUGAGAGCUCUGUCCGUCCCCAGCUUAUUGUCUGGCCCACCGGAAAUAAGUACAAGUUAAAGCAUGGUGAAUAUGAGCGCAUCCCUGUGGUUUACAAGGUGAAAGGACAGGAUGGCUGUGACAGCAUUGGUGGCAGGCUCCGAGGCAAACACACCAUGGCCAAGCAGGAGGGACUGGAGUCCAAGAGAGCCUCUCACAAAUCAUUGGAAUGUAACUGUGAGAAAUCAAAAACCAAGGUACCUUACAAAGUAACAGAGAUUCGAGGCAGAUGCUAUAAAGUUUAGGAAAUACCAAGCAGAUCUAGAGGAAACAAAUUGCUAAAUUCCAGCUACAAGGAAGAGCUAAAUAUUGCAUCAUCACAUACUCUCUCUCGAUUGAAUUACUAAAAUGUUAUACUAAAAAAACAAGAUAAUGUGACAUUAUAAAGCCUUUGGAAUUUUAAGUUGUAAAACAGCAAAUAAAUGGAAAUGCAAGUCUAUGAUUCUUAAGCAUUUUCUUCUCCUCUCAAAAUGGCCACAUCACUUAAGACAAUACUUAUAGCACUGGGUGAUCCAUGAAUAGUUCUGUCUGUCAUCUCCAGGGACCUUCAGAUGAGGAGAAAAGGAUGGUGGGGUUGAGGACAAAAUAAAA